GACGUAGGGCGCGAGCGUUGUCCGGAUUUAUUGGGCGUAAAGAGCUCGUAGGCGGCUUGUCGCGUCGACUGUGAAAACCCGCAGCUCAACUGUGGGCUUGCAGCCUGAUACGGGCAGGCUAGAGUUCGGUAGGGGAGUGUGGAAUUCCGUGGUGGAGCGGUGAAAUGCGCAGAUAUCAAGGAGGAACACCCGUAGCGAAGGCGGCACUCUGGGCCGGAACUGACGCUGAGGAGCGAAGCGUGGGAGCGAACAGG
rnacentral:rRNA from 1 species